UGCUGGGGGUGCCAUCAUGUCUGUGCCAGGGAUGCCAUACUCAUGCCAGAGAUGCCAUAUUCAUGCUGGGGAUGCCUUCAUGUCUGUGCCAUGGAUGCCAUAUUCAUGCCAGGGUUGGCAUAUUUAUGCUGGGGAUGCCAUCAUGUCUGUGCCAGGAGUGCCAUAUUCAUGCCAGGGUUGCCAUAUUCAUGCCAGGGUUGCCAUAUUCAUGCCAGGAGUGCCAUAUUCGUGCCGGGGAUGCCAUAUUUAUGCUGGGGAUGCCACCAUGUCUGUGCCAGGAGUGCCAUAUUCGUGCCAGUGAUGCCCUCAUGUCUAUGCCAGGGGUGCCAUGGUUGGCAUAUUUAUACUGGGGAUGCCAUCAUGUCUGUGCCAGGAGUGCCAUAUUCGUGCCAUGGAUGCCAUAUUCAUGCUAGGAGUGCCAUAUUCAUGCCAGGGUUGCCAUAUUCAUGCCAGGAGUGCCAUAUUCGUG
ensembl:lncRNA